rnacentral:rRNA from 1 species
GGCAGCCGCGGUAUCCUGAGGCUGUGUGAAGGUAGCAUAAUGAUUUGUAAAAAAAUUAGAGAAUGGAAUGAAUGGUUUGACUAAGGUGUAACUGUCUCUUAUAUAAUUACUAAAAAUUUAUUUUUAAGUUAAAAAGCUUAAAUUAAAUUAAAAGACGAGAAGACCCUAUUGAGCUUUGUAAUGCUUAUAUUAAUAAUUAUAUAUAAAUAAAUAGAUAGCUUUGUAAUAUAAAAUUUUUAGUUGGGAUGACUUGGGAACAAAUGAAACUUCCUAAAUAAAUAGUUAGAGAUGUCUAUAGAUCCAAAAAUUUUGAAUUUAGAACAAGCUACCAUAGGGAUAACAGCACUAUUUUUUUUGAGAGUUCUAAUCGAAAAAAAAGAUUGUGACCUCGAUGUUGGAUUAAAGUAUAAUAAAGGUUGCAAAAGCUUUUAUGAUUAGUCUGUUCGACUAUUAAAACUUUACGUGAUCUGAGUU